GGGGAAUAUUGGACAAUGGGCGAAAGCCUGAUCCAGCCAUGCCGCGUGUGUGAAGAAGGUCUUCGGAUUGUAAAGCACUUUAAGUUGGGAGGAAGGGUUUCUGGCUAAUAUCCAGGAAUUUUGACGUUACCGACAGAAUAAGCACCGGCUAACUUCGUGCCAGCAGCCGCGGUAAUACGAAGGGUGCAAGCGUUAAUCGGAAUUACUGGGCGUAAAGCGCGCGUAGGUGGUUUGAUAAGUUGGAUGUGAAAGCCCCGGGCUCAACCUGGGAAUUGCAUCCAAAACUGUCUGACUAGAGUAUGGCAGAGGGUGGUGGAAUUUCCUGUGUAGCGGUGAAAUGCGUAGAUAUAGGAAGGAACACCAGUGGCGAAGGCGACCACCUGGGCUAAUACUGACACUGAGGUGCGAAAGCGUGGGGAGCAAACA
rnacentral:rRNA from 1 species